ensembl:snRNA U6 U6 spliceosomal RNA
GUGCUCACUUUAGCAGCACAUAUACUAAAAUGGAACAAUGCUGAGAAGAUUAUAAUGGCCCUUGCACAAGGAUGACAUGCAAAUUCAUGUAGUGCUCCAAAUUUUU